rnacentral:lncRNA from 1 species
AGAAGUCAGGACGGGGCUCUUCCCACCCUUCCUGAUGUUGUUGAACUGUCUCAGAAGCAAACUCUCUCAGACCCCAAGGGAGGAGGCUCACUGGCCCAUGGAGAGUCCUCACUGCCAUAGCAGCCCUCCCCAGGGAUCUGAAAGGGAGACACCAAGGAGGGAGAAACCAGAUGUGUUGCGGGCAGACUGAAAAGCAAAACGUGAGUAG